rnacentral:misc_RNA from 1 species
GAGAGAGAGAGAGAGAGAGGCCUUAACAUCAAUGUAUGAAAUAAGAAUCGAAAAAGGUGAAUUUCGUUAUUCAACUGUUUGCUCUUCACUAAGUGGAUUUUACAAUUUCUGCAAAUUUUAUCUUCGUUGCAGAAGAAGCAUUCUCCGUAUAAACUAGUACAAAAGAACAAACAGCAGCCUCAGCUUCUAAUAAUUCUAACAGAUAGAGAGAGAGAGAGAGAG